rnacentral:rRNA from 1 species
GACGAACGCUGGCGGCGUGCUUAACACAUGCAAGUCGAACGGAAAGGCCCUGCUUUUGUGGGGUGCUCGAGUGGCGAACGGGUGAGUAACACGUGAGUAACCUGCCCUUGACUUUGGGAUAACUUCAGGAAACUGGGGCUAAUACCGGAUAGGAGCUCCUGCUGCAUGGUGGGGGUUGGAAAGUUUCGGCGGUUGGGGAUGGACUCGCGGCUUAUCAGCUUGUUGGUGGGGUAGUGGCUUACCAAGGCCUUGACGGGUAGCCGGCCUGAGAGGGUGACCGGCCACAUUGGGACUGAGAUACGGCCCAGACUCCUACGGGAGGCAGCAGUGGGGAAUAUUGCACAAUGGGCGGAAGCCUGAUGCAGCAACGCCGCGUGCGGGAUGACGGCCUUCGGGUUGUAAACCGCUUUCGCCUGUGACGAAGCGUGAGUGACGGUAAUGGGUAAAGAAGCACCGGCUAACUACGUGCAGCAGCCGCGGUGAUACGUAGGGUGCGAGCGUUGUCCGGAUUUAUUGGGCGUAAAGGGCUCGUAGGUGGUUGAUCGCGUCGGAAGUGUAAUCUUGGGGCUUAACCCUGAGCGUGCUUUCGAUACGGGUUGACUUGAGGAAGGUAGGGGAGAAUGGAAUUCCUGGUGGAGCGGUGGAAUGCGCAGAUAUCAGGAGGAACACCAGUGGCGAAGGCGGUUCUCUGGGCCUUUCCUGACGCUGAGGAGCGAAAGCGUGGGGAGCGAACAGGCUUAGAUACCCUGGUAGUCCACGCUGUAAACGGUGGGUACUAGGUGUGGGGUCCAUUCCACGGGUUCCGUGCCGUAGCUAACGCUUUAAGUACCCCGCCUGGGGAGUACGGCCGCAAGGCUAAAACUCAAAGGAAUUGACGGGGCCCCGCACAAGCGGCGGAGCAUGCGGAUUAAUUCGAUGCAACGCGUAGAACCUUACCUGGGUUUGACAUGGAUCGGGAGCGCUCAGAGAUGGGUGUGCCUCUUUUGGGGUCGGUUCACAGGUGGUGCAUGGCUGUCGUCAGCUCGUGUCGUGAGAUGUUGGGUUAAGUCCCGCAACGAGCGCAACCCUUGUUCACUGUUGCCAGCACGUUAUGGUGGGGACUCAGUGGAGACCGCCGGGGUCAACUCGGAGGAAGGUGGGGAUGACGUCAAGUCAUCAUGCCCCUUAUGUCCAGGGCUUCACGCAUGCUACAAUGGCUGGUACAGAGAGUGGCGAGCCUGUGAGGGUGAGCGAAUCUCGGAAAGCCGGUCUCAGUUCGGAUUGGGGUCUGCAACUCGACCUCAUGAAGUCGGAGUCGCUAGUAAUCGCAGAUCAGCAACGCUGCGGUGAAUACGUUCCCGGGGCU